UACGUAGGGGGCAAGCGUUGUCCGGAGUUACUGGGCGUAAAGGGCACGCAGGCGGUUGUGUCAGUUUGCGGGGACAGUGGGUGGCUUAACUACCCAAGGGUCGCAAAGACGGCACGACUGGAGAGCGAGAGAGGGACCUGGAACUCCGGGUGUAGUGGUGAAAUGCGUAGAGAUCCGGAGGAACACCAGUGGCGAAGGCGACACGCUGGGCCGUACCUGACACUGAACCGCGACAGCAUGGGGAGCAAACAGG
rnacentral:rRNA from 1 species